GAAACAAAAAACAAUUACAUGAACUUCACAGGAAAAAUAGUUCACCUGUCAGGGUAUAUUUAUAUUUGAAAAAGAAAAAGCAAAAAAAUAAAAAACUCGUUUUGGACGGAUGGCGAAAGCAGUGGCGUGAUGGGAGAAAGCUGAAAGCGUGGACCAUCAUAAGUUUGCAGCUGAGAGUGAAAUGUCAGGCUGAUAGAUCCAUAACCUUGUACACUGGGAGACAGAGACGCGGUGGCACUGGUAUAUGGAGUGUGUUUGCAUGGACACAGGUGCCGGGAGACCAAAUCAUUUGAACAUUGAAACUACAAGACAUGCAACGUCUCCGAUUCAAUUCUGCCGAAAUCCACCAUCAUUUUCACAGUGAAGAUCCAGGGCUGUUCAUCCCAGCACCUAGGCCAUGGGCUGUUGGUCGACUGUUGCCAAGGUGGCCAGCUUGGCCAUCAGUAGAGCAAUCAGUGAGCAACAGUAGCAGCUAGCAGGUAAGAGCAGUGGAUCAGUGCCUAUGGAGCUUACUGUUUGGUACCAAGAGAGUUAGAACCAAAUUUAAAUUGGCAGAAAUCCGAACAUAAGAAACUCUGCUUUAA